ensembl:lncRNA LINC02631 long intergenic non-protein coding RNA 2631
GGUGAUGCUGCUGCUUCUAGCCUGGCAUCAUACUGGUUUUCCUCUGCAGUUGAGAAGAGUCAUGUGCAAGCUCGUGGCAGCAGCAAGUCCUCCUAAUAUGUCCCUGGUAUCAAACUAACUCAUUAGACUGUGGUAGCUGUGGUUGACUCCUGGUUUCUCCCAACUCCACCCUUUUGGCAGGCAGCAACCCUGGCCAGCAGCUGCUCAUGGUCUAGGAAGGACAGCUGUCUUAACACCCAUUCAUCUGUAGAGAGCAGCCUUUUGGAUCAGCGGAUGGCUCCACCAGAUGCUCAGCUUGUUUUCAGUUCUGGAGUCUGAAAUCCCCAGUGCCAUCUACCUGGCAUCAGUCUCAGGUGCAGCAUUUUCAUAAGGACCCUGAUGUCAGCAGCUGCUUGUGGUGAAACAUCUCACAGUGGAAGAGGAGCAUUCUGUGUUGAGAAUUUCCAUUGACGAAGCCAACUGAGUGGCCUGAUUCCCUUGGACCAGCAAUCUAGAGCUAGGGAAGAUGUUGCCCCAAGGAAGAGGCACAGCAGACACUUGGCUCUCCUCUUGGGUUUCUGCUUUCUCUGAGAAAACAGAAGUUUGAGGCCUCUAGAAGCACUGCAUUCCCUCCAAAGGGAGGUUGUAGAUACAUUAAUUAAUAUGAUUUUAAUUCAAAACUUCCUGAGGCAGAUAAUUCUAAAUGAUUAUCCCAAAAAUAUUUCCAACACCCUUCUUUUUACCACCCACUGGCCCCCAAAUCCUCAAUUUUCCAGUCUCCCUUGAGCUAAGUGUGGCCCUAUGACUCACUUCCAGCCAUGAAAACAAGUGCAAAUCUGUUAGGAGUAUGUUCUGGGGCAAUUUUUGCUCUCCUGAUGAAGACAAAGGCUGUUGAUCCACUGAACCCACCCAGACACUAUGUGGUUUCUUGAAUGUCCUACGUACAUUUUGAUGGAUUACCCAAGGACUAUCUGAUGAAGAAUAAUAGAGACAUAUAAAUACAUAUGGGCUACAUCUUGGCAAAAUAAAGUAAUCCUGAAGUAAAUUCUAAGGAUGUUCUGAAUUGACACCUCUUAAGCACAACCGAAUGUCCUGGUGGCUUUGCCUCCCACUGGGGCUUUUUGGCUCUUGUUUGGCCCCAGCGGCUGCUGCAGCUCUGUCUGAAUUCACACAGGAGCAACAUGAUGGUGCUCAGCCCUCGCCGAAGUGUCUUGCUGAAGAGUUGGGAGAUGCUUGGACUAUUCAGAUAGAAGCCAGCUGGAAGUACAGGGCAGUCAACACAAACCAGAGAGGCAAACUUUUGGCCAGUGAGACAUGGAAAGGGAGAAGAAAUACAUUCUUCUUUCUCCCCUAGAGUGAGGACCAACCUGAGUCCCAGUCACCUGGAAUCCCCUCAGACGAGCGUCCCUUGAGAUCCAGCACAUGGCAGCCAGCGUGCUGACGAUUCCUUCCUGCCUACUGGCUCCUUCUUAUUUCUGCCUCCGUGGAACUGUAUUCUCUAAUCAAUAUUAGCACAUACAUAUUGCCCCAGACUGUACCUCCUGGGAACCCAGGAUAAAGCACUAUCUAAACAUUUUGUCUUGGAAUUGUAAUAAACUUCAAAAGAAAAAUACAACUUGAAAGUUAAA